GGAACUGUGCCCGAAUGUUUAGGGAUCACUUUGAUAGAGUGGACUAUGUGGGUUAAACCCCCUCCGGUUCCU
rnacentral:tRNA from 1 species